rnacentral:rRNA from 1 species
UGCGUAGGCGGACAAUUAAGUCAGAUGUGAAAUCCCAGGGCUUAACCUUGGGGCUGCAUUUGAUACUGGUUGUCUAGAGUGCAGGAGAGGAGAGUGGAACUCCUAGUGUAGCGGUGAAAUGCGUAGAUAUUAGGAAGAACACCAGUGGCGAAGGCGACUCUCUGGACUGUAACUGACGCUGAGGCACGAAAGCGUGGGGAGCGAACA